GGUCGUUAGUUACGUCGGGUGUGAAAAUCUGGGGCUCAACCCCAGACCUGCACUCGAUACGGGCUAGCUAGAGUUUGGUAGGGGAGACUGGAAUUCCUGGUGUAGCGGUGGAAUGCGCAGAUAUCAGGAGGAACACCAAUGGCGAAGGCAGGUCUCUGGGCCAAUACUGACACUGAGGAGCGAAAGCGCGGGGAGCGAACAGGAUUAGAUACCCUGGUAGUCCGCGCCGUAAACGAUGGGCGCUAGUUGUGGGGACCUUCCACGGUCUCUGCGACGCAGCUAACGCAUUAAGCGCCCCGCCUGGGGAGUACGAUCGCAAGAUUAAAACUCAAAGGAAUUGACGGGGCCCCGCACAAGCAGCGGAGCAUGCGGCUUAAUUCGACGCAACGCGAAGAACCUUACCAAGGCUUGACAUAUACCGAAAAGCAGCAGAGAUGUUGUGUCCGCAAGGGCGGUAUACAGGUGGUGCAUGGUUGUCGUCAGCUCGUGUCGUGAGAUGUUGGGUUAAGUCCCGCAACGAGCGCAACCCUCGUUCUGUGUUGCCAGCAUUAAGUUGGGGACUCACAGGAGACUGCCGUGGUCAACACGGAGGAAGGUGGGGAUGACGUCAAAUCAUCAUGCCCCUUAUGUCUUGGGCUGCACGCAUGCUACAAUGGCAGGUACAAAGGGCUGCAAUACCGUAAGGUGGAGCGAAUCCCAAAAAGUCUGUCUCAGUUCGGAUUGAGGUCUGCAACUCGACCUCAUGAAGUCGGAGUUGCUAGUAAUCGUAGAUCAGCAACGCUACGGUGAAUACGUUCCCGGGGCUUGUACACACCGCCCGUCACGUCACGAAAGUCGGUAACACCCAAAGUCAGUGGCCCAACCGCAAGGAGGGAGCUGCCUAAGGUGGGAUCGGUGAUUGGGACGAAGUCGUAACAAGGUA
rnacentral:rRNA from 1 species